UAUAGUUCAGUGGUAGAACACUUGCCUAGCAUGUAUAAGGCCUUGGGUUUGAAUCCCAGUA
rnacentral:tRNA from 1 species